ensembl:lncRNA
UCACUCAUCUAUCACUCCUUCAUCACUCCUCUAUGACUCCUCUGUCACUCAUCUAUCACUCCUUCAUCGCUCAUCUAUCACUCCUUCAUCACUCCUCUAUCACUCCUUCAUCACUCCUUCAACACUCCAUCGUCCUCUAUCACUCCAUCACUCCUCUAUCACUCCUUCAUCAGUCGUCUAUCCCUCCUCCAUCCUUCCUUCAUCAGUUAUCAAUCUCUCUUGUCUACUUGUCCCGCUGUCUGUCUGUCUGCUUGUGUCACUCUGUUUGUGUGAUUCUGUUGUAACAUUUCCCUAUAAUGAUAAUCAGGCAGCUCUCAGACGUGUUGCUGUCACAGCAGGGAGCCCCUCCCCCAUUCCUGCCGCCCUCAUUAUGACCAUAUAUGGUUAUUUUUUCAGAAUCUCUAUCAGUGACCAGUGAGGAGUUCACCAAUGCAGGUGCAACAGAGAAGAGCUGCAUGAGGCACGAGAGCCAAUCGCUUUCUACCGUGUGACAGAAUGUAUUAUUUCUAUAUUUAUUUAACGCUUUGCUGUGUAAAAUAAAGAAAAAAACUGGUAUUAAACGAUCUGCUGUAAUUCGCGUGAGGAAAUAACAUCACAUGUUUGCAGCUCAAUGCGGCUUAAUGACAAACAGAACCAAAGGAACAACACUACACCCUCGGUUAACACUUCGGGGUGGUGGUUCAUACCGGUUCUCAGUGGUUUCCUGUG